GUCUGUGUUUUCGACUGCGGCGGGAAGUGUGUGCGCGCACGUGGUCGGCGGCUGUUUUCUCUGGCGUUCGCGGUGUGUAGCUGCGUGUCUGGGGGUGCAGGAGGGGUGCGCCCGAGCUCUGCCUGUCUGGGGCGGGGGGUGCGCCUCGGCGGCGUCUGUUCUGGGGGCCUGCGUGUGUUCCCACGCUUUGGGUGUGCGCCGCGGUGUGUGGGAGCGUAAACAGCCGCGCCUCCUCCCCGCGGCCCCCGCCAGCAGAGCCCCCCUUCCGGCACCUAAAUCGGGAGCCGCCGUGACUCACGCACCGCCUCCCCCAGCGCCGCGCUGAGCGAGCGAGCGGGAUCGGGCCCUCCCCUCCCCCCGCCCGGGUCCAGGCCAAGGCCGGGGGGGGGGGGGGGCGGCGGGGCGGGGGUCCGCACGGAGCCGAGCGCCGCGCUCCAGGGCUCCUGGGGGCUCUGGCUCUCACUCGCUGGGGUGCUCCCGGGGGACCCCGGAUUCUGCGCCCUUGCUCCCCAUUCUCCGUCUCCCGGGGCCAGGCCACGCCGUCUGCCACCACCCUCCCCCACUUCUUAUAAAAGCCGGUUUCCAACCCC